UACAGAGGUCCCAAGCGUUGUUCGGAUUCAUUGGGCGUAAAGGGUGCGUAGGUGGCGCCGUAAGUCGGGUGUGAAAUCUCAGGGCUCAACCCUGAAACUGCAUUCGAUACUGCCUUGCUUGAGGACUGGAGAGGAGAUUGGAAUUCACGGUGUAGCAGUGAAAUGCGUAGAUAUCGUGAGGAAGACCAGUGGCGAAGGCGGAUCUCUGGACAGUUCCUGACACUGAGGCACGAAGGCCAGGGGAGCAAACGGG
rnacentral:rRNA from 1 species